UGACGCUUCUCUCUCUGGUUCCGCUGCUGCUCUUCUCUCUCUUUCAUGUUGAGUUUCUUGGUUCAAACAUGGCCCUCCCACCGACAAUUCGAGUUAGAAUCAAAUAUGGGUCCAUUCCAUGAAAUCAAUACUAGCGCUCAAUCUUCUAUUGGUAAUUUUUAUAAUCAAUUUUCUAACUUUAUUAGCAAAUUACAUCUUGGAAUUGAAUUUGAGAAUUGAGAAAUUAAUGAGUUAUGUGCUGUUAUGGAUUGUGGUGUGUAAAACAAGGAUUGGACCUUGCUCCCUCUAAUAAAUGAAAUCAUGAAAUUAGAAGCUGGGUUCGAUGAAGUUGAUUGGCUUUGGAUUCCCAGACAUCUGAAUCAUUGUACUCAUGUAGCGGCAGGGAUUGAUUUGAGGACGGUGGAGCUGCAAAAGCUGAGCUGGGUUGGCGAACAUGUUGCUGGGCUUGUGUUUUUUACUUUAGCUUGAUUCCUUCCUGGUGUUUAUUUUUUCUGUUUUUUCUUUUCCUUCUACACUCGUUGGUUGUUUUGCUCCCACCGCAAUUUUUAGGCUUUCUUGAUUACAACCAAAAAUAAAAGGCGAUAUUUAGAGAUGCGAUGAAAUGCAAAGAUGGAG
rnacentral:lncRNA from 1 species